GAUGAAGAACGCAGCGAAAUGCGAUAAGUAAUGCGAAUUGCAGAUCUCCGUGAGUCAUUGAAUCUUUGAACGCACAUUGCGCCCCCUGGUAUUCCGGGGGGCAUGCCUGUUCGAGCGUCAUUUCACCACUCAAGCCUCGCUUGGUAUUGGGCAACGCGGUCCGCCGCGUGCCUCAAAUCGACCGGCUGGGUCUUCUGUCCCCUAAGCGUUGUGGAAACUUUCGCUAAAGGGUGUUCGGGAGGCUACGCCGUAAAACAACCCCAUUUCUAAGGUUGACCUCGGAUCAGGUAGGGAUACCCACUGAACUUAAGCAUAUCAAUAAGCGGAGGA
rnacentral:misc_RNA from 1 species